CAAUCGGCCCUUUUCAGGGCCAACCAUACACCUUGUACAUAAGACU
rfam:Trachymyrmex cornetzi contig12872, whole genome shotgun sequence.